rnacentral:sRNA from 1 species
UGGAUGUUGAUGUAGAAGAUUAUUACCCAGCUUUCCUGGACAUGGUGCGGAGCCUGCUGGAUGGCAACAUAGACUCAUCACAGUAUGAAGACUCACUGAGAGAGAUGUUCACCAUUCAUGCCUACAUUGCCUUUACCAUGGACAAACUGAUCCAGAGCAUUGUCAGACAGCUGCAGCAUAUCGUGAGUGAUGAGAUCUGUGUGCAGGUGACUGACCUUUACCUGGCAGAAAAUAAUAAUGGGGCCACUGGAGGCCAGCUGAACACACAGAACUCAAGGAGCCUCCUGGAGUCAACGUAUCAGCGGAAAGCUGAGCAGCUAAUGUCAGAUGAGAAUUGCUUUAAGGUGAGAGUUGCUCAGGUAGUCGAAGACCUUGCUGGUGACAAUGUCAGUUGUUAGGAUUCUCUGAACCAGAAGUUAAAGCCAGCGUACUUUGACCUGUGAUUCUACUCCUGGAACUUUUAAUGAGUUCACCAGAGAAAUACAAAGUGGAAGUAAUUGUCUUCCUGGACAGUCUACUUUGUUUCUUUCCUGCCUUUAAAGGAAAAAAAAAAACUAGUUAUAUAUGAUUUUUACAAUUUUGUAUUCUUUUUCUCUGAAC